CGAACGGGUGAGUAAUAUAUCGGAACGUGCCCAGUCGUAGGGAUAACGUAGCGAAAGCUACGCUAAUACCGCAUACGAUCUAUGGAUGAAANCGGGGGAUCGCAAGACCUCGCGCGAUUGGAGCGGCCGAUAUCAGAUUAGGUAGUUGGUGAGGUAAAGGCUCACCAAGCCGACGAUCUGUAGCUGGUCUGAGAGGACGACCAGCCACACUGGGACUGAGACACGGCCCAGACUCCUACGGGAGGCAGCAGUGGGGAAUUUUGGACAAUGGGCGCAAGCCUGAUCCAGCAAUGCCGCGUGCAGGAUGGAGGCCUUCGGGUUGUAAACUGCUUUGUACGGAACGAAACGGUGAGCUCUAAUACAGUUUGCUAAUGACGGUACCGUAAGAAUAAGCACCGGCUAACUACGUG
rnacentral:rRNA from 1 species